CGUGUAGGCGGGUGCUUAAGUCUGCUGUGAAAUCUCCCGGCUCAACUGGGAGGGGUCAGCAGAUACUGGGCGUCUGGAGUGAGGCAGGGGGUACUGGAAUUCCCGGUGUAGCGGUGAAAUGCGUAGAUAUCGGGAGGAACAUCAAUGGCGAAGGCAGGUACCUGGGCCUUUACUGACGCUAAGCGCGAAAGCUAGGGGAGCAAACAGGAUUAGAUACCCUGGUAGUCCUAGCCGUAAACGAUGAGAGCUAGGUGUGGGAGGAAUCGACCCCUUCCGCGCCGACGCUAACGCAUUAAGUUCUCCGCCUGGGGAUACGGCCGCAAGGUUAAA
rnacentral:rRNA from 1 species